CCAAUAGAUGUUGAUUAUCUAGUGAUGCAUAUCAUACAUGGUCUCCCAAAUGAUUAUAUUCCUUAUAAAACUGCCAUUAACACUAGAGUUGAGCUUGUUUCUCUUAAUGAAAUUUAUGGAUUAUUCUUGAUC